rnacentral:rRNA from 1 species
UACAGAGGUCUCAACCGUUGUUCGGAUUCAUUGGGCGUAGAGGGUGCGUAGGCGGUCGCGCAAGUCGGAUGUGAAAUCUCAGGGCUCAACCCUGAAACUGCAUUCGAUACUGCGUGGCUAGAGUGCUGGAGAGGAGACUGGAAUUUACGGUGUAGCAGUGAAAUGCGUAGAUAUCGUAAGGAAGACCAGUGGCGAAGGCGAGUCUCUGGACAGCAACUGACGCUGAGGCACGGAGGCCAGGGGAGCAAACGGG